rnacentral:rRNA from 1 species
GACGAACGCUGGCGGCGUGCUUAACACAUGCAAGUCGAACGAAGUGGCGAACGGGUGAGUAACGCGUAAGCAACCUGCCCUUAAGUGGGGGACAACAGUUGGAAACGACUCCUAAUACCGCAUACUGAAGGAGGGGUUUGCGUCUGAAUAGCUCGCUGGAGGGGUAACGGCCCACCAAGGCGAUGAUCAGGAGCCGGUCUGGGAGGAUGAACGGCCACAUUGGGACUGGGAAACGGCCCAGACUCCUACGGGAGGCAGCAGUGGGGAAUCUUCCGCAAUGGACGAAAGUCUGACGGAGCAACGCCGCGUGAGUGAUGACGGCCUUCGGGUUGUAAAGCUCUGUUAAUCGGGACGCGGUACCGGAAUAGAAAGCCACGGCUAACUACGUGCCAGCAGCCGCGGUAAUUC